AAAGUCGUAACAAGGUAACCGUAGGUGAACCUGCGGUUGGAUCAUUAAAAAUUUGACUCGGCUAGGGACCAUGUACUGGCUCUGGCUUGAGGGCGACGAUCUCUUUGUGCAUUUCAUUGGCUGGAUGAUGAUCAUGAUCUGUAAGAAAUGAUUGAUUGGACGCCUUUGUCUGUACACAAAUUGUUUCGGACAUUUUGUGAACUGUUUUGUCUCUGGCGGCCGGGUGAAAACAGACUUUUGCCAGAAGUCUGAUUUUAUCUGUCAGCUUGGGAAACCAAGCCGUGGACAAACCGCCAACUUAUUUUAACCCAACAUUAGAUUUUUUGUCUAACAUUACUUUGUAUAAAUAUACAAACAACUUUUGGCAACGGAUCUCUUGGCUCUC
rnacentral:misc_RNA from 1 species